rnacentral:rRNA from 1 species
UAACACGUGGCUAACCUGCCCUUGGGAUCCGGAUAACCCCGGGAAACUGGGGCUAAUCCGGAAUAGGUAAGGGGCUCUGGAACGACUCCUUGCCUAAAGGCCCCUCGGCUGAUCCCGUCGGGGGCGCCCAAGGAUGGGGCUGCGGCCCAUCAGGCUGUUGGCGGGGUAAAGGCCCGCCAAACCGAUAACGGGUAGGGGCCGUGGGAGCGGGAGCCCCCAGUUGGGCACUGAGACAAGGGCCCAGGCCCUACGGGGCGCACCAGGCGCGGAACGUCCCCAAUGCGGGCAACCGUGAGGGCGUUACCCCUAGUGCCCUCGCAAGAGGGCUUUUCCCCACUUUAGAACGGUGGGGGAAUAAGCGGGGGGCAAGACUGGUGUCAGCCGCCGCGGUAAUACCAGCUCCGCGAGUGAUCGGGACUCUUAUUGGGCCUAAAGCGCCCGUAGCCUGCUCUGUAAGUCACUGCUUAAAGACCCGAGCUCAACUCGGGGAAGGGUAGUGAUACUACAGAGCUAGGGGGCGGGAGAGGUCGGGGGUACUCCUAGAGUAGGGGCGAAAUCCGUAGAUCCUAGGAGGACCACCAGUGGCGGAGGCGCCCGGCUAGAACGCGCCCGACGGUGAGGGGCGAAAGCUGGGGUAGCAAAAGGGAUUAGAUACCCGGGUAGUCCCAGCUGUAAACGAUGCGGAUUGGGUGCCGGUACGGCUUCGGGCCGUAUCGGUGCCUCAGGGAAGCCGUUAAAUCCGCCGCUUGGGGAGUACGGUCGCAAGACUGAAGCUUAAAGGAAUUGGCGGGGGAGCACCACAAGGGGUGAAGCCUGCGGCUCAAUUGGAGUCAGCGCCGGGAACUUUACCGGGGGCGACAGCAGGAUGAGGGCCAAGCUGAUGACUUUGCCCGACGCGCUGAGAGGUGGCGCAUGGCCGUCGCCAGCUCGUGCCGUGAGGUGUCUGGUUAAGUCCAGGAACGAGCGAGACCCUCACCCCUAGUUGCCACCGCGCAAGCGGGCACACUAGGGGGACCGCCACCGCUAAGGUGGAGGAGGGAGGGGGCAACGGCAGGUCAGCAUGCCCCGAAUCCCCCGGGCCGCACGCGGGCUGCAAUGGUGGAGACAAUGGGUUCCGAACCCGAAAGGGGGAGGUAAUCCUUGAAACUCCACCGUAGUUGGGAUCGAGGGCUGCAACCCGCCCUCGUGAACCUGGAAUCCCCAGUAAUCGCGUGUCAUCAUCGCGCGGUGAACACGUCCCCGCUCCUU